AUUGAACGCUGGCGGCAUGCUUUACACAUGCAAGUCGAACGGGGUGAAGGGGCAACUCUUCAUUCAGUGGCGAACGGGUGAGUAAUGCAUCGGAACGUGUCCCGUAGUGGGGGAUAACCCAGCGAAGGCUGGGCUAAUACCGCAUAUGCUCUACGGAGGAAAGUGGGGGACCGGCAACGGCCUCACGCUAUGGGAGCGGCCGAUGUCCGAUUAGCUUGUUGGUGGGGUAAGGCCUACCAAGGCGACGAUCGGUAGCUGGUCUGAGAGGAUGAUCAGCCACACUGGGACUGAGACACGGCCCAGACUCCUACGGGAGGCAGCAGUGGGGAAUUUGGACAAUGGGCGCAAGCCUGAUCCAGCAAUGCCGCGUGAGUGAAGAA
rnacentral:rRNA from 1 species